UAACUGAAGAGUUUGAUCAUGGCUCAGAUUGAACGCUGGCGGCAGGCUUAACACAUGCAAGUCGAGCGGAGAGAGGUAGCUUGCUACUGAUCUUAGCGGCGGACGGGUGAGUAAUGCUUAGGAAUCUGCCUAUUAGUGGGGGACAACAUUUCGAAAGGAAUGCUAAUACCGCAUACGUCCUACGGGAGAAAGCAGGGGAUCUUCGGACCUUGCGCUAAUAGAUGAGCCUAAGUCGGAUUAGCUAGUUGGUGGGGUAAAGGCCUACCAAGGCGACGAUCUGUAGCGGGUCUGAGAGGAUGAUCCGCCACACUGGGACUGAGACACGGCCCAGACUCCUACGGGAGGCAGCAGUGGGGAAUAUUGGACAAUGGGCGCAAGCCUGAUCCAGCCAUGCCGCGUGUGUGAAGAAGGCCUUAUGGUUGUAAAGCACUUUAAGCGAGGAGGAGGCUACUUUAGUUAAUACCUAGAGAUAGUGGACGUUACUCGCAGAAUAAGC
rnacentral:rRNA from 1 species